UGCAGUCGAACGAUGAUGCCCUGCUUGCAGGGUGGAUUAGUGGCGAACGGGUGAGUAACACGUGGGUGAUCUGCCCUGCACUUCGGGAUAAGCUUGGGAAACUGGGUCUAAUACCGGAUAUGACCCCCUUCUAGGGAUGGGGUGGAAAGCAUUUUGCGGUGUGGGAUGAGCCUGCGGCCUAUCAGCUUGUUGGUGGGGUAAUGGCCUACCAAGGCGUCGACGGGUAGCCGGCCUGAGAGGGUGUACGGCCACAUUGGGACUGAGACACGGCCCAGACUCCUACGGGAGGCAGCAGUGGGGAAUAUUGCACAAUGGGCGAAAGCCUGAUGCAGCGACGCCGCGUGGGGGAUGAAGGCCUUCGGGUUGUAAACUCCUUUCGCUAGGGACGAAGAUGUAUUUUGACGGUACCUGGAGAAGAAGCACCGGCUAACUACGUGCCAGCAGCCGCGGUAAUACGUAGGGUGCGAGCGUUGUCCGGAAUUACUGGGCGUAAAGAGCUCGUAGGUGGUUUGUCGCGUCGUCUGUGAAAUCCCGGGGCUUAACUUCGGGCGUGCAGGCGAUACGGGCAUAACUUGAGUGCUGUAGGGGAGACUGGAAUUCCUGGUGUAGCGGUGAAAAUGC
rnacentral:rRNA from 1 species